ACUGACACAGAAGCCAGGACCAAAGGACUCAGUGUGAGAGCCUCCUGUGAGUAUGCUGGGGCCUCUGAGAAAACCACAAGCCCGGGUACGGGACCUGCACUUACAGACAGAGAACCCAACAGCCUCUAUGGUAGUCCCCAGAGAAUCUAUUUCUCAUAGCUACAGGGCUGUUUCCAAAACCAAACACAAAGCAUAACUCUGCGGGGUGUGGAUGCACAGGCAGAAUUGGCGGCAUCUCUGGGUUUGAUGGGAAAGCCGGGCAUGGAUCUGGAAGGAGCGGGACCCCGGCACCGGACAGAGGGACGUCUGACUGGACUCAGAUGAAGAUGACUUUCGCUGGGAAACAGUUCUGGCUGAUUGCGCCAGGCCCUUGCAGAGACUGAACAAGCUAGCCAUGAGACGCGGAGACCAUGCAACCUGAGCUCCCCAUCGCAAACAAGGAACUACCAGGCCCUCCAGGCCGAAUGCUGAGUGUGCACAGCAACCCUCUCUCGCCAGGCAGAGACGGGGCUUGCCCAGGCCUGUGAAGCACACGGACGCUGCACGGGUACAUGAUGCAGCUGCUCUGCCACUGGUGCCUCCCCUACUUCGAUCCACACCCAGACUCGGGGGAGCUCCUUAUGAGCCACUGACUGACGGAGAAAAAGCUGGGCUUGGUUUACAGGUGCUUCUCCUGCUGGGCUGGCCGCUGCUGGCACUGCAGAGUGUGGCUCUUGAGGACAGUGGGGAUUACAUCUCCCAGCAGGCAGACCUCCCAGCUGGACAUCUGAUUUCCACUUUAUCAGGACUGAGAUGGCCAGGACAUAUCUACACGGAUCCCCAGGGUGAUUCCAGUAUUAAACCAGGGGAAUCUCAUGGAACCAAACCGCAGGGAGUCCAGUCGGCCUCUCAAGAGACUGAAGAUGGAAACAGAAAAGCCAAGCCCGAGACUGCUCGUCCCCCCUCAUUCUGGCGGCACACCCUCCCAUUCUGCUCUCCUCUCGUGGGCUCUGUUCUACUCCUGUCUGCACACACUCUUUCAGCUUCCCUGCAAGUGGCUCGCCUUGGUCCCCAGAGCAGUUAUGGCUCUGAGGAUGUUGUACCCUCAGAGUAACGUGGUCAUUUUGAGUACUGUUCUGCAGCUUACUUUUUUUUUUCCUAAUAAAUGAAUAUACUCUUGACAAA